UGUAAGGUGAUGCAAUCGGAACUCGGUC
rnacentral:piRNA from 1 species